rnacentral:rRNA from 1 species
UAAGACAGAGGGGGCAAGCGUUGCUCGGAAUCACUGGGCGUAAAGGGCGCGUAGGCGGGAUGGCAAGUCGGUCGUGAAAUCUCUCGGCUCAACCGAGAAACGUCGGCCGAUACUGCCGUUCUUGAGGGAUGCAGAGGAGACUGGAAUUCCCGGUGUAGCGGUGAAAUGUGUAGAGAUC